rnacentral:rRNA from 1 species
UACGUAGGGGGCUAGCGUUGUCCGGAAUCAUUGGGCGUAAAGAGCGUGUAGGCGGUUCGGCAAGUCGGAUGUGAAAUCUCCACGCUUAACGUGGAGGGGCCAUUCGAAACUGCUGUGACUCGAGUCCGGUAGGGGAGUGUGGAAUUCCCGGUGUAGCGGUGAAAUGCGCAGAUAUCGGGAGGAACACCAGUAGCGAAGGCGGCACUCUGGGCCGGUACUGACGCUGAGGAGCGAAAGCGUGGGGAGCGAACAGG